GGGGGCGAAAGGAUUCGACGGGGACUGGCGGUCCCCGAGGAGCAGGCCGGGUGGCUCCCGUAACAGCCACCGAAACACUUCCCGAAGCUGAACUCGCUCUCGCUGCCUAAUUAACAGGCAGCGCGUCCCCGGAGGGUUUGCGGGUGGCUCUCCGGAGGGCGUCAGAGACACCCGCUCGGGCUACUCGGUUGCACGGGACUGGGUAGCCGACACCUUCAGCCCGUGCUACCUUCGGGGAGCUUGCCCGUGGGCGACCCGAAGGGAAACCCAAAACACGGGCUAAGCCUGUAGAGCCUCGGAUGUGGCCGCCGUCCUCGGACGCGGGUUCGAUUCCCGCCGCCUCCACCA
rnacentral:tmRNA from 1 species